UCUUGGACAUUGCUCCUGUCUACUCAGCUGC
rnacentral:piRNA from 1 species